ACAUACACACACACACAUACAUACACUGCUGUGUGUGUGUGUGCUGCAUGAGGGUGGUUUGAGGGUGUUGUGUGUGUAAGGGUGCUGUGUGUGUGUAUGUGUGUGAGGGUGCUGUUAGUGUGAUGUGUGUGUGAGGGUGUUUGUGUGUGUUUGUUAGGGUCCUGUUAGUGUGCUGUGUGUGUGAGGGUGCUGUGUGUGUGUUUGUGAGGGUGCUGUUUCUGUGCUGUGUGUGAGAGGGUGCUGUGUGUUUGAGGGUGCUGU